AGCGAGAGUGAUGAGUUGCACAAUGACGCGGCAGGAGCGUGCAUGUGGCGUGCUCCUGUCACGGGCCGAAUGGAUUCACUCCUUGAUGAAAGCCCAGAGGUGCACAGGGGCCAUCUGACUCGCU